rnacentral:snRNA from 1 species
UUCUGAAGUUCUUCCAUGUU